rnacentral:rRNA from 1 species
AAUGGCUUACCAAGGCGAUGAUGCAUAGCCGAGUUGAGAGACUGAUCGGCCACAAUGGGACUGAGACACGGCCCAUACUCCUACGGGAGGCAGCAGUAGGGAAUCUUCCACAAUGGGCGAAAGCCUGAUGGAGCAACGCCGCGUGUGUGAUGAAGGGUUUCGGCUCGUAAAACACU